rnacentral:misc_RNA from 1 species
CUAGUAGCUGGACAGUAC